GGGGAUGUAAAGGAUUCGACAGGGUUUUGAAGUAUAAGGCUGCGUGUCGUGCCAAAGUCUCUUGAACACGUUAAUCACGAGGGACACUAAAGUUAAACGCAGAAGAUAAUUUUGCACUAGCUGCCUAGUUGCAGCUCGUCUUGCCCUUGACCCCUGCGACUUGGGAUAAGGCGUCGAUAGCAGGCCACCUUGUAAAUAGAUAAUCGGGAUUUACACUGCAUCAAUUCGAUUGUAGCUUUGCAAAAGUUUUGAUACUAAGCACUCUUGCAAUAGCGAAACUCAACUUAGUAUCUACACACGUAGAGGCUUUAUGUGGAAAGAUUUUGGACACGGGUUCAACUCCCGUCAUCUCCACCA
rfam:Peptostreptococcaceae bacterium CCRI-22567 contig-4000010, whole genome shotgun sequence.